UAAGUCUCCUGAAGGAACGUUGAAGACGACGACGUUGAUAGGUCGGGUGUGUAAGCGCAGCGAUGCGUUGAGCUAACCGAUACUAAUGAACCGUGAGGCUUAACCUUACAACGCCGAAGGUGUUU
rnacentral:rRNA from 1 species